rnacentral:misc_RNA from 1 species
AGUGCCAAAGUAGUUCCUCUUAAGAUUUCAGUGGCAACGUCGUACAAGAAUCAAAAGUAAACAACGAUGGCGUCUGACUCUCACUCAAAUUUGUUAUCUCAUAAUACAAACCUUGUCGAUGACUUUGAAGAAGCAUUCCAAGGUAUCAUCAGCGGUUUCACCAAGGAAGAUGGCUUAUCACACACCCAGGAUAAUAAAGAAGAAUUACGUACGGAUGCCGAACAGAACGUUGCAAAGUUCAUUGAAGUAGCCAAGCAAAUGGAAACAUUUUUCCUUCAAAGGCGCAUGCAAAUAUCUGUUCUGAAACCAGAACAGCUUGUCAAAGAGGAUUGCACAGAACUCAAACAGGAGUUGGCUAGGAAAGAUGAACUUAUCAAAAAGCAUUAUGAGAAAAUUUCAAUAUGGUUAAAUAUGUUGGGUGAACCACAACCUGGACCUGUGGCCAAUGGAACCCCCAUCCUCAGUGAAGGAGUACCUGCUCCACUACAGCAGCAACCAGGCAAUACAAUGCCAUUUCAGCAUCGAUAGCUUUACAAGAUGUAAAGAAAAUUUCUCGCGUUUAUUUCCUGAAUACUGUAUCAAAGUGAAUUUAAAACAUCUUUUGGAAAUCCUCACUCUGACUAAUGCGGCUUAGAACUUCAAUCAACCCAAGUAAGGCACAUCAGAGCCAUCGACCACUCCCCCAACGCCUGCGAUAUCAAGAUGCAUCCAAUGAGGAGCUUCUGUGAAUUCCUGUUCGGUAGAAAAUAAAUGUACGUUGUUCAUAUAA